ACUAUUGAGAGUUUGAUCCUGGCUCAGAACGAACGCUGGCGGCGUGCUUAACACAUGCAAGUCGAACG
rnacentral:rRNA from 1 species